rnacentral:rRNA from 1 species
AUUGAACGCUGGCGGCAUGCCUUACACAUGCAAGUCGAACGGCAGCGCGGACUUCGGUCUGGCGGCGAGUGGCGAACGGGUGAGUAAUACAUCGGAACGUACCCUGUUGUGGGGGAUAACUAGUCGAAAGAUUAGCUAAUACCGCAUACGACCUGAGGGUGAAAGUGGGGGACCGGAAACGGCCUCAUGCAGCAGGAGCGGCCGAUGUCUGAUUAGCUAGUUGGUGGGGUAAAGGCCCACCAAGGCGACGAUCAGUAGCUGGUCUGAGAGGACGAACAGCCACACUGGGACUGAGACACGGCCCAGACUCCUACGGGAGGCAGCAGUGGGGAAUUUUGGACAAUGGGGGCAACCCUGAUCCAGCAAUGCCGCGUGUGUGAAGAAGGCCUUCGGGUUGUAAAGCACUUUUGUCCGGAAAGAAAUCGCGCUGGUUAAUACCUGGCGUGGAUGACGGUACCGGAAGAAUAAGCACCGGCUAACUACGUG